rnacentral:rRNA from 1 species
UUAGAAUUUAUUUAUUAAUAUUUUUUGUAAAUUUAAUUAUUUUUAAUAAAAAUAAUUUUAAAAUUAAAAUUUUUAGUAUUUUAUAAAGAAAAAAUAAUAUUAAUUAUAGUUUAUUAGUAUUGUAAAAGAACAUUGAAAUAAUUUGAAAAAUUUUUAUUUUAAAAGAAAAAUUAAUUUUUUGUACCUUGUGUAUCAGGGUUUAUUAAUUAAAUAAUUUUUAUAAAUUUUUCUCGAUUUUAAGAGAUUUAAUUUAAUAUAUUAGUUACUGUGGCAUAAGUAUUAAUAAUAUUAUAUUAGAAAUGAAACGUUAAUCGUUCUUAAAAAUAUCUAGUUAUUUAAGAAAUAAAUUUAAUUUAUUUAUAUUAAAAAUUAAUUAAUUAAUUAAAUUUAAUUAAUUAAGUUUUUUAUAAAAAUAUUUUAAGGGAUGAGCUUUAAAAUAAAUUUUUAUAAUAAUUAUAAUUUUUAUAAAAAAUGUAAGCUUAUAAAUAGUUAUCAUUAAAAAUUAUGUUAUAAUUUAUUUUUAUAAUUAUAUUAUUUAAUUUUUAUUUAAAUUUUUUAUUAAAUUAUUUAUUUUAAUAAUAAAAAUAAAAAAAUUAUGAUAAAAUUAGUAAAUAAAAAAUGUUUAUAAAAAUUAUUUUUGAAAGGUUUUUAUAAUGAAUUCGGCAAAAUUUUAUACUCACCUGUUUAUCAAAAACAUGUCUUUUUAUUAUUAUUUAUAAAAAGUCUAACCUGCCCACUGAUUUUUUUAAAGGGCCGCGGUAUUUUGACCGUGCAAAGGUAGCAUAAUCAUUAGUCUUUUAAUUGGAGGCUUGUAUGAAUGGUUGAAUGAGGUAUAAGCUGUAUCAUAAAAAUUUUUAAUUGAAUUUUAUUUUUUAGUUAAAAAGCUAAAAUAAAAUUAAAAGACGAGAAGACCCUAUAAAGCUUUACAUUUAUUAUUUAUAAUUUAUAAAGAAUUUUUAAAAUUUUAUUAUUUUAUUUGUUUUGUUGGGGUGACAUUAAGAUUUAUUAAACUCUUAUUAAUUUUAUACAAAAAUUUUUGUUUUAUUGAUCCAAUUAUUUUGAUUAAAAAUUUAAGUUACUUUAGGGAUAACAGCGUAAUUUUUUUAGAGAGUUCUUAUCGAUAAAAAAGAUUGCGACCUCGAUGUUGGACUAAGAAUUAUUUUAGGUGUAGAAGUUUAAAAUUUGGGUCUGUUCGACCUUUAAAUUCUUACAUGAUCUGAGUUCAGACCGGCGUGAGCCAGGUUGGUUUCUAUCUUUAAUAAAAUAAAAUAUUUUAGUACGAAAGGACCAAAUAUUUAAAAUAUUUUUUAACAAAAAGAAUUAAAUUAAUAUAAUUAAAAUAUUUAAUAAAAUAU